rnacentral:rRNA from 1 species
UGGGGAAUUUUGGACAAUGGGGGAAACCCUGAUCCAGCCAUCCCGCGUGUGCGAUGAAGGCCUUCGGGUUGUAAAGCACUUUUGGCAGGAAAGAAACGUCAUGGGUUAAUACCCCGUGAAACUGACGGUACCUGCAGAAUAAGCACCGGCUAACUACGUGCCAGCAGCCGCGGUAAUACGUAGGGUGCAAGCGUUAAUCGGAAUUACUGGGCGUAAAGCGUGCGCAGGCGGUUCGGAAAGAAAGAUGUGAAAUCCCAGAGCUCAACUUUGGAACUGCAUUUUUAACUACCGGGCUAGAGUGUGUCAGAGGGAGGUGGAAUUCCGCGUGUAGCAGUGGAAUGCGUAGAUAUGCGGAGGAACACCGAUGGCGAAGGCAGCCUCCUGGGAUAACACUGACGCUCAUGCACGAGAGCGUGGGGAGCAAACAGG